rnacentral:lncRNA from 1 species
UGUGACCCUGCACAAGUUACUUAAUCCCAAUUGACUAGCUCUUACCACUCUUCUGCCUUGGAACACAGAAUUGAUUCUCAAAUGGAAGAGGCAAGUCAAUAAAUCUCUCUGUGCUUUAGAGGAUUC